GACGAACCGUGCGAACGUUGUUCGGAAUCACUGGGCUUAAAGGGCGCGUAGGCGGUCAUUCAAGUCGGGGGUGAAAUCUUGCAGCUUAACUGUAAAAGUGCCUUCGAUACUGAAUGACUCGAGGGAGGUAGGGGCAGGUGGAACUUCCAGUGGAGCGGUGAAAUGUGUUGAUAUUGGAAGGAACGCCGGUGGCGAAAGCGACCUGCUGGAUCUCUUCUGACGCUGAGGCGCGAAAGCUAGGGGAGCAAAC
rnacentral:rRNA from 1 species